UAUAUAAAUCAUACCAUAUCAUAUAUAUAUAUAUAUAUAUAUAUAUAUAUAUAUAUAUAUAUAUAUAUAUUAUAUACCGAACCUCUUAUCCGGCAACCUUGACCGGAGAUGGUCCGGAUUUCUGGACACAGGCUAAAUAUAUAC